AUGGCUCAGGACGAACGCUGGCGGCGUGCCUAACACAUGCAAGUCGAGCGAGGAGAUCCUCGGGAUGAUCCUAGCGGCGGACGGGUGAGUAACACGUGGGCAACCUGCCUCAUAGAGAGGAAUAGCCUUCCGAAAGGGAGAUUAAUACCUCAUAACAUUGCAGUUUCGCAUGGAACAGCAAUUAAAGGAGUAAUCCGCUAUGAGAUGGGCCCGCGGCGCAUUAGCUAGUUGGUGAGGUAACGGCUCACCAAGGCGACGAUGCGUAGCCGACCUGAGAGGGUGAUCGGCCACAUUGGGACUGAGACACGGCCCAGACUCCUACGGGAGGCAGCAGUGGGGAAUAUUGCACAAUGGGGGAAACCCUGAUGCAGCAACGCCGCGUGAGUGAUGACGGCCUUCGGGUUGUAAAGCUCUGUCUUCAGGGACGAUAAUGACGGUACCUGAGGAGGAAGCCACGGCUAACUACGUGCCAGCAGCAGC
rnacentral:rRNA from 1 species